rnacentral:rRNA from 1 species
GAUGAACGCUGGCGGUAUGCUUAACACAUGCAAGUCGAACGGACUCUUCGGAGUUAGUGGCGGACGGGUGAGUAACGCGUGAGAAUCUGGCUUUGGGUUCGGGACAACCACUGGAAACGGUGGCUAAUACCGGAUGUGCCGAGAGGUAAAAGAGAAAUUGCCUGAAGAUGAGCUCGCGUCUGAUUAGCUAGUUGGUGAGGUAAAGGCUCACCAAGGCAGCGAUCAGUAGCUGGUCUGAGAGGAUGACCAGCCACACUGGGACUGAGUCACGGCCCAGACUCCUACGGGAGGCAGCAGUGGGGAAUUUUCCGCAAUGGGCGAAAGCCUGACGGAGCAAUACCGCGUGAGGGAAGAAGGCUCUUGGGUUGUAAACCUCUUUUCUUAGGGAAGAACAAAAUGACGGUACCUAAGGAAUCAGCAUCGGCUAACUCCGUG